rnacentral:rRNA from 1 species
GACGAACGCUGGCGGCGUGCUUAACACAUGCAAGUCGAACGAAGAGCGAUGGAAGCUUGCUUCUAUCAAUCUUAGUGGCGAACGGGUGAGUAACGCGUAAUCAACCUGCCCUUCAGAGGGGGACAACAGUUGGAAACGACUGCUAAUACCGCAUACGAUCUGACCUCGGCAUCGAGGAUAGAUGAAGGGUGGCCUCUACAUGUAAGCUAUCACUGAAGGAGGGGAUUGCGUCUGAUUAGCUAGUUGGAGGGGUAACGGCCCACCAAGGCGAUGAUCAGUAGCCGGUCUGAGAGGAUGAACGGCCACAUUGGGACUGAGACACGGCCCAGACUCCUACGGGAGGCAGCAGUGGGGAAUCUUCCGCAAUGGACGAAAGUCUGACGGAGCAACGCCGCGUGAGUGAUGACGGCCUUCGGGUUGUAAAGCUCUGUUAAUCGGGACGAAAGGCCUUUUUGCGAAUAGUGAGAAGGAUUGACGGUACCGGAAGAGAAAGCCACGGCUAACUACGUG